rnacentral:lncRNA from 1 species
GACAAGUUAUACCAGAAGUCUCUAUCAUUUAACUCAAGGAGAUACUGCUUCUCAAAGAAAAAGCACCUGUUCCAGAUGUGAUAAAUGACUGAGUGACAGUUUAGUUCGCCCAGGACAGAAAUUAACUGGGAAGAAUUGAGCUGCUCUUAAGAAAUGAACCAAUUUAUACAGUCAACAUGAAUGGAGCAAAAGGCUUUCUUUUUUCUCUAAUGGCGGCGUGACCACGGAGAAUGAGACUGACAGGAGCUGCCCGGGUCUGGAGGAGGCUAAAGCUGAGUUUAAGCUGGAAACUAAAACACUAGACUGUUUUUCGGUACAACUUGCCCGGUUCCUCUCCACUCCCUUUAGUUUCACUCCAUGGACAGAUCAACGGACCUGGACAUCGAGGAGCUCAAGGCUGGGCUUCCCCCCUGCCUGUUCCUGCUGGCGGCGGCGACCCUGUCCUCCACCUCCUCCUCCUCCGCCGUGACAGCAGCUCCCGAAGGUGCAAAACCCAGAGCGCCCUAAACUCGCUCGGGCAGCAGCGGCCACAGCACCAUCUCUGGGCGGCUUCCCGGCAAAGUUGUCCGAGGUGCGCGACCACGUUUCCGCCUCUCCCCUUUUGGAUCCCUUCUGCCCCCGCCCUCCAUGGGGACCACGCGGGGACAGCCUGUUUCCACUCGGGUUCACCUGGCCCCGGGAGCCCUCUCCCCCCGCAACCGCGGACACAGUCGUCCCCGCUGCCCCGGCC